GACGAACGCUGGCGGCGUGCUUAACACAUGCAAGUCGUACGGUAAGGCCCUUUCGGGGGUACACGAGUGGCGAACGGGUGAUUAACACGUGAGUAACCUGCCCACAACUUUGGGAUAACGCUAGGAAACUGGUGCUAAUACUGGAUAUGUGCUCCUGCUGCAUGGUGGUGGUUGGAAAGCUCCUGUGGUUGUGGAUGGACUCGCGGCCCAUCAGCUUGUUGGUGGGGUAGUGGCCUACCAAGGCGGCGACGGGUAGCCGGCCAGAGAGGGUGACCGGCCACAUUGGGACUGAGAAACGGCCCAGACUCCUACGGGAGGAAGCAGUGCGAAAUAUUGCACAAUGGGCGCAAGCCUGAUGCAGCAACGCCGCGUGCGGGAUGACGGCCUUGGGGUUGUAAACCGCUUUCAGCAGAGACGAAGCUUUUUGUGACGGUACCUGCAAAAAAAGCACCGGCUAACUACGUG
rnacentral:rRNA from 1 species